rnacentral:lncRNA from 1 species
UUCACAAUUCCAAACACAGAUAUUAUAAGUUCCACAAGAAAAAAGUCAUCUAUGAACUUUAAAUUAACAAAUCAAACUUAAAAACUUGCUGAAAAUAUAAGAGGGGGGGGGGGGUCCAUAUUAUAUCCAGCUAAGCUAAGAGAUGUACAAAGAAGAAGAAAUUGUGAAAACUGGGAACCACGUCAAACAACCCACCACACAUAUUGAGAUUUGGAGAGAGGACCACCAUCUCCAUCUAUACGGCUCUUGGGAUGGACACGUGUCUGACAUCCGAUGGUUGAGUCCCCCGCAUGUGGGCCGAAUCUAAAAAGAGAGCAAAAGACUCGUGUGUCUGUGUGUGUUCGUUCGUUCGGGACUCUGAGUCUCUGACGCACGCAUUUGUACAUAAAGCCUCUUACUACAAAAACCAUAUCCUUUCCGUUGAGUUCCACCUCUCUCCCUCCCUCUUCUAUCUUUCUAGCCGUUGGAUCUCUUUCAUAUCUCUCUACUCUUAAUCCGACGUUCAUUACCC